AAAAUAAGGGGCCGACUUCAAUUUUAUUACCGUUGGAGUUUAGGGUUUCCUAUUUCUACACAGUUUAGAUUUCAAUUUCUUUCGAUUUUUUCGGCGUUCUCUCCGUCUCAAACACUCUCUCCCACUCUCCGCCUUCCGCCGGAAACGGUCACCAGAACGUCGAAUUUCAGCCUAAGAUUAGGGUUUUCUAUUUCCAAGCAGUUUAAAUUUCCUAUUUCUUUGUUUUUUCGGCGUUCUCUCCCACCCCUCAAAAUUCUCUCCGUCUCAAAAACACUAUCUACCGCGCCAAUCCGCUUUCCGCCGGAAACGGGUACCGGAAGACGUCGAAUUUCAGGGUUAAUGCCGGCCCCCUAAAGUAGGAUUUGGAGGGUAAAAAAGUUGCAGCCAUGAAGCUAUGAUUGGGAAGGCAAAGUUACUGAUUUAUUCCAUUGUUCUUGGUGCUAAAAAGAAGAACCUUGCUGGUUCUCUAGAGCAACAUCCCAAUUUCGCAUUGAGCAGACAGAAAUAUUUCAGAGCACACUCCUUUAAGGACGUGCCUGUCGACUGUUAGCUGCGAAAGCUACCCUUGCUGCAUGUGUUGAUUCCAUAAGGGAAGGACCCAACGGGGAAAACUGGGCGAUCUCUCCUAGAUGAGUUUUGUAAGAAGAUAGAGACCACUUCCAAACAGCCUAGAUCACUUCCUGUUCCAGAUUCUGAACCUAAAAAAAAGAGGGGGGGUGGACAACUGAGGAAGAUGAAAGAAAUACUACUGAUGAUUUCUUCCAACUUAAACCUGCAUUUUCUUGACUUGUGUCUCAGGGUUUGGGUGUGGAAUAAGUGGCAAAUUACAUCGUUGGCUCUCAGAGCAAGCUUGCUGCCAAAGUAGCUACCUAUUAGGAAAAGUCCUGUUGGAGUUUAUGGUUGGCUUCCUAUUUCCAAGCAGUUUCCUGUUUCUUUGUUUUUUCAGCGUUCUCUCCAUCUCAAACACUUCACGCCAAUCUGCCUUUCGCCGGAAAGACGUCGAAUUUCAGGUUAAUGCCUGGCCUAAAGUAGGAUUUGGGGGGUAAAAAAGUUGCAGCCAUGAAGCCUAGGCAGAGUCACUGCUUUAUUCCAUUGUAAGUUUGCUCUCUUUCUGAGACAAUGCAGAAAAAAAGCUUAUUCCAUUGUAAGUUGCUCUCUUUCUGAGACAAUGCAGAAAAAAAGAUCAACAAAGAGAAGGGAAAAAGUAAAUUGGGAUAGCCCAGAGUCUAAAGAAAGAAAUUACCCACCUUCUCUGACUGGUAAAAUAAUUGAUGAAUGGCCCCAUGCCCAAGUGGUUCUCGAUCACUUGUUGUCAACCACCACAAGCAGCCAACAAGGCCCCUAGGCAUAUCUAGGUCACAUCAAGCAUUGCCUGGAAU